UUGCUAUCUGCGAUAUGGAAGAUUCGAACCUGCCGCAGGUUCGGGUCUCACGUAGUGAGACAACGGAGCCGCUUGCGGCGACGGCCCGAAGGGCGAGCAAAGCGAGUCAUCCUGCACGACCCAC
rnacentral:sRNA from 1 species